rnacentral:rRNA from 1 species
UACGGGGGGGCAAGCGUUGUUCGGAAUUACUGGGCGUAAAGGGCGCGUAGGCGGCCUCCGCAAGUCAGUUGUGAAAUCUCCGAGCUUAACUCGGAAAGGUCAACUGAUACUGCGGGGCUAGAGUGCGGAAGGGGCAACUGGAAUUCUUGGUGUAGCGGUGAAAUGCGUAGAUAUCAGGAGGAACACCGGUGGCGAAGGCGGGUCUCUGGGCCGAUACUGACGCUGAGGAGCGAAAGCGUGGGGAGCGAACAGG